UUCGGUGACGGGUAUUCUUGGGUGGAUAAUACGGCUCUCGUUGUUAUUGCUUAAGAAUACGCGUAGUCGAG
rfam:Danio rerio chromosome 24, GRCz11 reference primary assembly.